UAAUAGCGUAUACUUAAGUUGUUGCAGUUAAAAAGCUCGUAGUCGGAUGUCGGGCUUGGGCAGGCUGUCGGCUUUUGUCGGACGGCAGGCUCGGGCCUUUCUGCCUGGGGACCGCGUCACACUUCACUGUGGGGCGUCGGGACGCAGGCCGUUUACUUUGAAAAAAUUAGAGUGUUCAAAGCAGGCCUACGCUUGAAUACAUUAGCAUGGAAUAAUGGAAUAGGACUUUGGUGCCAUUCUGUUGGUUUAUGGAACCGAAGUAAUGAUUAAUAGGGACAGUUGGGGCCGUUUAUAUUUCGUUGUCAGAGGUGAAAUUCUUGGAUUUACGAAAGACAAACUGCUGCGAAAGCGUCUGCCAAGGAUGUUUUCAUUGA
rnacentral:rRNA from 1 species